rnacentral:rRNA from 1 species
CGGACGGGUGAGUAACACGUGGAUAACCUACCUAUAAGACUGGGAUAACUUCGGGAGACCGGAGCUAAUACCGGAUAAUAUAUUGAACCGCAUGGUUCAAUAGUGAAAGACGGUUUUGCUGUCACUUAUAGAUGGAUCCGCGCCGCAUUAGCUAGUUGGUAAGGUAACGGCUUACCAAGGCAACGAUGCGUAGCCGACCUGAGAGGGUGAUCGGCCACACUGGAACUGAGACACGGUCCAG